GACGAACGCUGGCGGCGUGCUUAACACAUGCAAGUCGAACGGAAAGGCCCUGCUUUUGUGGGGUGCUCGCGUGGCGAACGGGUGAGUAACACGUGAGUAACCUGCCCUUGACUUUGGGAUAACUUCAGGAAACUGGGGCUAAUACCGGAUAGGAGCUCCUGCUGCAUGGGGGGGGUUGGAAAGUUUCGGCGGUUGGGGAUGGACUCGCGGCUUAUCAGCUUGUUGGGGGGGUAGUGGCUUACCAAGGCUUUGACGGGUAGCCGGCCUGGGAGGGUGACCGGCGACAUUGGGACUGAGGUACGGCCCAGACUCCUACGGGAGGCAGCAGUGGAGAAUAUUGCACAAUGGGCGGAAGCCUGAUGCAGCGACCCCGCGUGCGGGAUGACGGCCUUCGGGUUGUAAACCGCUUUCGCCUGUGACGAAGCGUGAGUGACGGUAAUGGGUAAAGAAGCACCGGCUAACUACGUG
rnacentral:rRNA from 1 species